CCCAUGUUGAAGCCUGACAUUACAGGCCGGUUGAAAAUGACCUCAUUGACUACAACUGCAACUUGUAACCAAGAAGAAUUUUAAAGGGUUUGGUCUACCAAAGAGGUGUUGUUUUGGCAUUUCUGGUCGUAGGCAUCGAAAGCGAAUUGGAAUUGGCAUCUGAUUUACAUGUUUUAUGCACUGCUUGGAAGAUGUUAUCCGGACAACACAACGAAACAAUCCAAAACCACCGAAUUCGUCCACAGACCACGCCUCGCUAUACCCAGGGUACUUUCUUAUUUCUCUCUUGGAGCCACUUCAUAUGCUGCUUUUCGUGCAGUAUUUUGGUUCUCGUAAAUCAUAUAAUACUAGGAGGGUGAUCCCGCCGAUGUUGUCGGCGUGGCGUGGCUGGCAUGGGACCACAAGGCUAUAUCGCUUUCAUAGGUUGGCAGUGAUUGAGCGAAUGUGACAUCAUGUCAGUCUUCGCAGAGUGCAUAGAGGUAUGCAGUAAUUGUCCGGGUCCCUUUAAAAUUGAUUCUUGAAUAAAACUGCCUCGCCACUGACUUCCAAUUAGUCAGUCUUUUAGUGUCUUUGUGAAGUUACACUGAUAUUAUCGCACUUCGGCGCUGUGAUAGGAUAAGUCGAUCCUAUCAGACGGCAAAUUCUCAAAUGGCACGUCUCAAACGGCAUGUUUCGAUAGGAGCUCUCGGGUGAAUUGGCUGUGAUGGGGCAUGUGGAAGAAACUGAAUUGACAAGGUUCCUCUCAAUGAAGGAGACAAGAGAAUGACAUGGUACAAGCGUGAACUACAUCUUUUAGGGCAUAAUACUGACAAGAGCCAUAGGGUACUAUCACAGAUCAACUUAGGUAAGGACAACUUUAGCAACAGGACAUGAAUGGUGCAUCUUAACCUUGAUGGUCAAGCCCACAUCUUGUUAUAUGUCACUAAUGGGCUUGUUUUAUUGCCCGUUGUGAUCAUGAUUAUUUUGAAAGAGAGAGCACACGUUGAAUUUUUUGGUCCCAAGGUUUCUCUGCUAAUACAGAUUCCUUACCCAUGAGAAUUCAUACUGCUUCACUUCUCUUCACAGUGAUUGUUAUGGCAACCAUUCACGUCUCUAGCUCCAGACAACCUCUUGGGUUUACGUAUGCAGAGUACAUCCCUGUCUCUGAUUUAGGAACCACGUCGUCUUCUCCAGGAUCAGAGCAUUUUCUUACCGCCAGUCCUCCCAUUUCGAUGUCUGAGAGCUCCAAGGAGAAUCAGAUAUGUGUUUCCCAUCAAGUUGUUCCAAGUGGACCAAACCCACUUCACAACUGAUUGAAUUCUCUCUCUCUCUCUCUUAUUGGGCAGUGGUGGAUUGGUAUUGAGCUGAGGGAUACUUUUGGUUCUCUCACUGAACAAGGAAAAGAAGAAUCCUUUCUGAGAUCUAUGCAUUAUGUGAGCUAAUUUUCUAGCCACCUUGUUCUUGGAAGAACCAAGUGGUAGCCGUGAUUGAAGCUUCAAGCUCCAGGAUAUAUGCGGAUAAGUGAUGUACUAUUUCAAUUGCAGAUUGUAAGAAAGGAACUGUGUUAUCAAUCACAGUUCAUGUUGCUGAGAUGCUCAUUCACUCAGCUCGGUAUUGGCAAAUUAAUAGUGUCGGUUUUCCUUCCCAUAUGAGAUUAUACUAAAGAGUCAAUUUCAGUUUCUCUGAGACAACACAAUAUUGGAUUAGAUAGCAGAUGUUUGUAAAUUAUGGAGGGUUGACACUCUUCAGUUUGACUGAUCGUGUGGAGUUUUACUUUAUACUGAUCCCAAGAUCAUAUGUGUUACUCCUAUGUUAGGGAAAGACAGGAAUCUCAGAACUGGAAAUAGCCUUCUGGUUAGUGUAGCAACCGCUAGAUUUCAAAUUGCUGCCAAAAGAUGGAAAAGAAAAGAAGAGGCAGUUCCUUGAAGCCUUGUAUCAAUUUUGUGGAUGUUUUGACAUAACCUCCCUUCACAUUCGUGAUGUCUGAUGUCGAUUAAUUUUGCAUAUCCAAUCGGUCUUUCUAUCAGUA